rnacentral:rRNA from 1 species
UGAUUAAAAUUUAGCAGGCGUACAGGGAAUGCCUUGGCACUGGAGUGCGAUGAAGGACGCGAAAAGCUGCGAUAAGCCACGGAUAGCCGUAUUGGGCGAUCACCCGUGGAUUUCCGAAUGGGGUAACCUAUGGCGGCCAAGCCGCCAUUGUUCAAUGAAGCCACAGGAUGCAAGUCCUUGGGUGGAUUGAUCAGCAAAUACUAGGGGAAGUGAAACAUCUCAGUACCCUAUGGAAAAGAAAACGUAAUGUGAUUCCGUUAGUAGCGGCGAGCGAAUGCGGAACAGCCUAAACCGUUGAUUCUUCAACGGGGUUGUAGGACCUGCAUAAUUGUGGACUAGAUAGGCGAAGCAUAAGGAAUAAUGCUCCAUAGAAGGUGAGAGGCCUGUAGCCAACAUCAAAAUCCACAUGGCGGGUAAUCCUGAGUAAUGCGAUACACGUGAAAUCUCGCAUGAACACAGCGCCGACCACGGCGUAAGGCUAAAUACUAACCAGUGACCGAUAGUGAACAAGUACCGCGAGGGAAAGGUGAAAAGCACCGCUGUGAGCGGAGUGAAAUAGUACCUGAAACCGUACGCCAACAAGGUGUCAUAGCUGCUACGGCAGUAAUGGCGUGCCUUUUGCUUAAUGAGUCUGCGAGUUAGCUUGAAUGGCAAGCGGAUGGCCUUCUGGGCAGUACGCAUAGCUAAAGCGAGUCAAAAAAGGCGACAUUAGUCGUUCGAGCUAAACCCGAAGCGGUGGUGAUCUACCCUUGGCCAGGACAAAGCUGUGGUAAUACACAGUGGAAGACCGAACCGGUGAAUCUUGAGAAAUUCUCGGAUGAGCUGAGGGUAGGAGUGAAAGGCUAAUCAAACCCCGUAAUAGCUGGUUCUCCUCGAAAUGCAUUUAGGUGCAGCGUUGCAUUAGUACCGGGGGGGUAGAGCACUGAAUAAGUAAGGGGCCAAUUGCGGCUACCAAGCCUAAUCAAACUCCGAAUACCCUGGAUCGAUGUGCAGCAGUGAGACUAUGUGGGAUAAGCUGUGUGGUCGAAAGGGCAACAGCCCAGCCCAACAGCUAAGGUGCCAAAACCCGUUUAAGUGGAAAGGAAGUAAGGCGUCACUGACAGUGAGGAUGUUGGCUUAGAAGCAGCCACCAUUUAAAUAGUGCGUAAUAGCUGGCUCAUCGAGACGCCUUGCGCCGAAAAUGAUUGGCGAUUAAAACGGGUACCGAAGCUUUGGAUGCGCAUGCGGAAGCAUGUGCGUAGUAGAGGAGCAUUCUUCUGGCAAUGAAGCACGCGAUUAAUCAAGUGUGGAGCCGGUUGAAGAGAGGAUGCAGACAUAAGUAACGUAUAGGGCGGUUAAAUACUGCCCCGCCGAAUACCCAAGGUUUCCUGGGCUACGAUUUUCGUCCCAGGGUUAGCCGGAACCUAAACCAACCCUGUUAUCAGGAUGGUGAUGGAAAUUGGUUUAAUACUACCAAGCCAGAUCAUGGUUUGCAUGUGGAACCGCAUGGAACGUGUGUUGUAAGCCCAAUUGAAUGGGCAGGGCCGCUUGCGGCCCGCGCAACCCAUCAACGUGCCUAGAAAAAUCCACAUUCUUACACCAUGAAUGUCCGUACCGCAAACCAACACAGGUGGGUGGGCUGAAUAUGCUCAGGCGUAAGAGUGAACCCUUGUUAAGGAACUCUGCAAUCUAGUCCCGUAACUUCGGAAGAAGGGAUGCCUGUCGCAAGACAGGUCGCAGUGAACUGGGUCAACCGACUGUUUAUCAAAAACACAGCAUUGUGCCAAGACGCAAGUCUAUGUAUACGAUGUGACACGUGACCAAUGCGGAAAGAUUAAGGCAAGAGGUUAGCCGCAAGGCGAAGCUUUGAGCCCAAGUCCCCGUGAAUGUCGGCCGUAACUAUAACGGUCCUAAGGUAGCGAAAUUCCUUGUCGGGUAAGUUCCGACCUGCACGAAUCGUGUAACGAGUUGACCGCUGUCUCAACAAGGCGCUCAGUGAAUUUGUAUCGGCGGUGAAGAUGCCGCCUACCCGCAGAAGGACGGAAAGACCCUAUGCACCUUAACUGUAAGCUGUCACUGAAUUGCUGAAUUGCAUGCUCAGAAUAAGUGGUAGGCUUUGAUGCUUGUCUUUAGGGGCAAGUGGAGCCAACAAGUGAGAUACCACCCUUGCUAUUCCGCGAUUCUAACAUAAAGGCACGUGAUACGUGCAUUUGGACAAUGGCAGCCGGUCAGUUUUACUGGGGCGGUAUCCUCCCAAAAGAUAACGGAGGAGCGCGAUGGUGUGCUCAGCACGGUUGGUAAUCGUGUGUCGAGUGUAUAGGCAAAAGCACGCCUAACUGUGAGACCAACAAGUCGAACAGAUACGAAAGUAGGUCUAAGUGAUCCGGCGGUUAAAUGUGGAAUUGCCGUCGCUUAACGGAUAAAAGGUACGCUAGGGAUAACAGGCUGAUUUGACCCAAGAGUUCAUAUCGACGGUUAAGUUUGGCACCUCGAUGUCGGCUCGUCGCAUCCUGGGGCUGAAAAAGGUCCCAAGGGUCCGGCUGUUCGCCGGUUAAAGCGGCACGCGAGCUGGGUUCAGAACGUCGCGAGACAGUUCGGUCCUCUAUCCUCUGUGGGCGUUAAAGAAUUGAGGGAUUUGCUUUCUAGUACGAGAGGACCGAAAGCAACACACCAAUAGUGUAUCAGUUGUCGUUUCAAUGGCAUCGCUGAGUAGCCAAGUGUGGAAAAGAUAAGCGCUGAAAGCAUCUAAGCGCCAAGCUCCCCCCAAGACCAGUUCUUUUUUAAAUCGUGGUAGACUACCACGUCGAUAGGGCGGUUGUGCAAUGGGUGUAAGCCCUUGAGCAAAGCGCUACUAAUAUUUAAUCCUUUAAUCUU